UCGAGCGAACGGACGAGAAGCUUGCUUCUCUGAUGUUAGCGGCGGACGGGUGAGUAACACGUGGAUAACCUACCUAUAAGACUGGGAUAACUUCGGGAAACCGGAGCUAAUACCGGAUAAUAUUUUGAACCGCAUGGUUCAAAAGUGAAAGACGGUCUUGCUGUCACUUAUAGAUGGAUCCGCGCUGCAUUAGCCAGUUGGUAAGGUAACGGCUUACCAAGGCAACGAUGCAUAGCCGACCUGAGAGGGUGAUCGGCCACACUGGAACUGAGACACGGUCCAGACUCCUACGGGAGGCAGCAGUAGGGAAUCUUCCGCAAUGGGCGAAAGCCUGACGGAGCAACGCCGCGUGAGUGAUGAAGGUCUUCGGAUCGUAAAACUCUGUUAUUAGGGAAGAACAUAUGUGUAAGUAACUGUGCACAUCUUGACGGUACCUAAUCAGAAAGCCACGGCUAACUACGUGCCAGCAGCCGCGGUAAUACGUAGGUGGCAAGCGUUAUCCGGAAUUAUUGGGCGUAAAGCGCGCGUAGGCGGUUUUUUAAGUCUGAUGUGAAAGCCCACGGCUCAACCGUGGAGGGUCAUUGGAAACUGGAAAACUUGAGUGCAGAAGAGGGAAGUGGAAUUCCAUGUGUAGCGGUGAAAUGCGCAGAGAUAUGGAGGAACACCAGUGGCGAAGGCGACUUUCUGGUCUGUAACUGACGCUGAUGUGCGAAAGCGUGGGGAUCAAACAGGAUU
rnacentral:rRNA from 1 species